GGAGAGUGCAAGCGUUAAUCGGAAUUACUGGGCGUAAAGCGCGCGUAGGUGGAUAUUUAAGUCGGAUGUGAAAGCCCUAGGCUUAACCUGGGAAUUGCACCCGAUACUGGGUAUCUAGAGUAUGAUAGAGGGAAGUGGAAUUUCCGGUGUAGCGGUGAAAUGCGUAGAUAUCGGAAGGAACACCAGUGGCGAAGGCGGCUUCCUGGAUUAAUACUGACACUGAGGCGCGAAAGCGUGGGGAGCAAACAGGAUUAGAGACCCUGGUAGUCCACGCUGUCAACGAUGAGAACUAGAUGUUGGGAGGCUUGACCUCUUAGUAUCGAAGCUAACGCGUUAAGUUCUCCGCCUGGGAGUACGGUCGCAAGAUUA
rnacentral:rRNA from 1 species